AUUUCAUUUUAAGGACCAAGGAGGAGCUUGUAAUAUUGAGCCACUCCCUUUUGCAACUACAGCACAAUUGGCUUGUAACUUCUUCUUUAUAUUGACUGUAUCUUUUCAUUUCUUUAUCUUACAACAGUUGAUCAUUAACAGUGAUAGAGAUGAUUGAUGUCUCUCAAUGGAGAGCAAAUUGGACUGCGGAACUAUUGUCAAGCUGCCUCUAGUAGUAGGGAAAAAGAACACUCUCUUGUCAAUCACAUAAAUCAUUUUAUAUCAAAAUGGACUCUUGUAACUAUCAGAAAGAAGUGCAUAAGAAGAAACCAUACAAGUAGGGGAUUGGUAAAACCGGGCUCGGGAGGGGCUCGGGCACGGGAAAUGGCGGGGUAAAACCGGGCUGCCCCGGACUGGGGCUUCACCUAUUUUCAUGGAAUAAGGACUGAUAUGGAGCUAGUAAGGACAUAGAACAAACUACUGAGGAAGCCAUGAAUCCCCCUUGACUAAUGCUGGGAACAAGGCCUCUCUACACCGGGCCAUCUGUCUUCUAAGUCCACUACUUUAACUCUCUCAUUUUUAUUUCUGAUUUUAUUUGCUGUCAUUGUUAUCUUAAUUCUCAUUGUCCUUGAUUGUUGAUUUAUUUUUAUUUAUUUAUAUUUAUUACUAUUAUUUUUACUGUUGAUCAUUAUUCAUUUCCACUUUUCUUUUUGUUUUCCAGGGGCCAUAGCAGUUCAGUCUUGCUGGGAUGUCUGUGCCGUAUUAUGAAACUUACUCAAUUUGGUUUAUUGUAAAUAAAUUAUAUUACAAAACCGAACCAGAAACUAUCAGGAAAUUAGAUUUUACAGAUUUUCUUUCCAUCAUAAUAGCAGUAUGGACUAUGA
rnacentral:lncRNA from 1 species